AUGGUAAUUUGUGAUUGUUAUCAUCACCGGCAAUCUCAUGUGUUUCAAAAAAAAUGUGUGUCUCAUGGCCAGUCCCAAGAGGUAAAGGCAGCAACGCUGCUCCACAAGGCAAUGGAAUAUGAGACAAGUACCGACGGAGGAAUUUACUCCGAUAAGAGAAAACCAUCAACAUCGGUACAUUGUUCUGCGACGUUUACUUGGAGUCAUGCAAACACUAGCUCAGUUUGCCUCCAUGACAGUUAG